AUGCUUGGUUCAGUUGCUCCUGGUAUUAAUAGCGGGAUAAAUAUGGAGAACUUGCAGCAAAUAAAUUCUGAGCAAAAAGAUAUACCAAUGCAAGAUUUUCAUGCGAGGCAAGAACUGGCUGGAUCUUCCGAGACUUCACAAGACAAGUUGAUAGUGCAGGCUCCUCCACAUAAGGAAUUAUGCUUUAAAUAUGUUGGAUGGUUCAGAUAG